GCCGAGGUAGCUCAAUGGUAGAGCAGCGGUAUCGUAAACCGUUGGUUGGGGGUUCAAGUCCUCUCCUCGGCU
rnacentral:tRNA from 1 species